rnacentral:rRNA from 1 species
CGCGCAGGCGGUCGUUCAAGUCGAGUGUGAAAGCCCCCCGGCUCAACUGGGGAGGGUCACUCGAUACUGAUCGACUUGAAGGCAGGAGAGGGAAGCGGAAUUCCCGGUGUAGUGGUGAAAUGCGUAGAUAUCGGGAGGAACACCAGUGGCGAAGGCGGCUUCCUGGCCUGUUCUUGACGCUGAGGCGCGAAAGCUAGGGUAGCGAAC